ensembl:lncRNA
GAACACUGACCAUCACUCAGGUGAAUUACCGCGCGAUGGGACCUGAGAGCUGUUGGGACACCUAGACGUUGUUUCACCCAACAGUGUUUUCCCUGCAAGGUAUGUGGGAUCUUAGCUUCCUCAACCAGCGAUCAAACCCACAACCCCUGCAUUGGAAGGUGAAGUUUUACCCACUGGACCAUCAGAGGAGUCCCAGGCCCAGAUAGUUAAUGUGACUCCUCCUUGGAGGUUUCCAGAGGAACAGUGGAAGGAUAGAGGAAGGACAAAAUCAUUUCUUCUUCUUCUUGUUUCCUAUUCUUUUCAUCAUUCCUCUGGCAACACUACUCCUCAAUCCAUGAUCAGCAUAUUGUACCUGUAGUAGCAACUGUUUUGAGUAUGCAGGUCUAUAACAUUUUCAUAAGCAGAAUCACUGGCUCUCUCAGAGCACCAGCCAG